rnacentral:rRNA from 1 species
CAGUCGCCGCGGUAAUGCGUAGGGGGUUAGCGUUAUCCGGAUUUACUGGGCGUAAAGGGUGCGUAGGUGGUCCUUCAAGUCGGUGGUUAAAGGCUACGGCUCAACCGUAGUAAGCCGCCGAAACUGGAGGACUUGAGUGCAGGAGAGGAAAGUGGAAUUCCCAGUGUAGCGGUGAAAUGCGUAGAUAUUGGGAGGAACACCAGUAGCGAAGGCGGCUUUCUGGACUGCAACUGACACUGAGGCACGAAAGCGUGGGUAGCAAGCAGGAUUAGAUACCCCAGUAGUCCCUGUCUCUUAUACA